rnacentral:rRNA from 1 species
UAAGUAUGGACGGGAUAAGUGCUGAAAGCAUCUAAGCAUGAAGCCCCCCUCAAGAUGAGAUUUCCCAACUUCGGUUAUAAGAUCCCUCAGAGAUGAUGAGGUUAAUAGGUUCGAGGUGGAAGCGUGGUGACACGUGGAGCUGACGAAUACUAAUCGAUCGAAGACUUAAUCAA